rnacentral:rRNA from 1 species
AGUGAACGCUGGCGGUAGGCCUAACACAUGCAAGUCGAACGGCAGCACAGUAAGAGCUUGCUCUUACGGGUGGCGAGUGGCGGACGGGUGAGGAAUACAUCGGAAUCUACUUUUUCGUGGGGGGUAACGUAGGGAAACUUACGCUAAUACCGCAUACGGCCUACGGGUGAAAGCAGGGGAUCUUCGGACCUUGCGCGAUUGAAUGAGCCGAUGUCGGAUUAGCUAGUUGGCGGGGUAAAGGCCCACCAAGGCGACGAUCCGUAGCUGGUCUGAGAGGAUGAUCAGCCACACUGGAACUGAGACACGGUCCAGACUCCUACGGGAGGCAGCAGUGGGGAAUAUUGGACAAAGGGCGCAAGCCUGAUCCAGCCAUACCGCGUGGGUGAAGAAGGCCUUCGGGUUGUAAAGCCCUUUUGUUGGGAAAGAAAAGCAGCAGGUUAAUACCCCGCUGUUCUGACGGUACCCAAAGAAUAAGCACCGGCUAACUUCGUG